GACGGAGGGCGCAAGCGUUGUUCGGAAUUACUGGGCGUAAAGCGCGCGCAGGCGGGAAGGUAAGUCUGGAGUGAAAUUCCGGGGCUCAACUCCGGAGCUGCUUUGGAUACUGUCUUUCUAGGGACCGGUAGAGGCCGGUGGAAUUCCCGGUGUAGCGGUGGAAUGCGUAGAGAUCGGGAAGAACACCCGUGGCGAAGGCGGCCGGCUGGGCCGGAUCCGACGCUGAGGCGCGAAAGCUAGGGGAGCGAACGGG
rnacentral:rRNA from 1 species